UUGGAGGGCAAGUCUGGUGCCAGCAGCCGCGGUAAUUCCAGCUCCAAUAGCGUAUAUUAAAGUUGUUGCAGUUAAAAAGCUCGUAGUUGAAUUUCGGGGUUAGUAGGUUGGUCAUGCCUCUGGUAUGUACUGGUCUCACUGAUUCCUCCUUCCUGAUGAAUCUUAAUGCCAUUAAUUUGGUGUUUCGGGGAAUUUGGACUUUUACUUUGAAAAAAUUAGAGUGUUUAAAGCAAGCUAACGCUUGAAUACAUUAGCAUGGAAUAAUGAAAUAGGACGUUCGAUCCUAUUUUGUUGGUUUCUAGGAUUGACGUAAUGAUUAAUAGGGAUAGUUGGGGGCAUUAGUAUUCAAUUGUCAGAGGUGAAAUUCUUGGAUUUAUUGAAGACUAACUACUGCGAAAGCAUUUGCCAAGGAUGUUUUCAUUAAUCAAGAACGAAAGUUAGGGGAUCGAAGACGAUCAGAUACCGUCGUAGUCUUAACCAUAAACUAUGCCGACUAGGGAUCGGAUGAUGUUAAUUUUUUAAUGACUCAUUCGGCGCCUUACGGGAAACCAAAGUGUUUGGGUUC
rnacentral:rRNA from 1 species